GUCCUCGCCUCUCCUCUGCCACGGCCAAGCCCCCCCCUCCUCGGUAAAGACUCCCUGGGGACCCCCCAUCCCCGCUCGCUGCCCCGGGAGCGCGGGGACCGGCAGCGCCGCCGUCCCGCCGGGGCGGCCCCGGGGCGGCAGGCAGCGCCGAGGUCGUUCCUGGGAGUUUAUUCUGGCUCACGCUGGGCCAACACCUGCGAGAGGAGAACGAGGAGGAGGAAGGUGCCAGCCACGCUGUGUGCUGGGGCCCCUCAGCUCGGGCUCUGCAGCCACCAAGCCCAGGAGGAGGGACUUGGGCAGGCGCUGAUCCCGGCUGGAGGACCCCGCUGCGAGACGAGUUCCUCGCAGCCAGACCCCCCGGCUUCCCUUGAGGCCCCAACCUGAGAGCCAGCCGCCCCGGGCCGGCUGCCCGCGCCAGGAAAGCGCUUUGCUGAGCUUCCCCCUCCACCAGCCUCAGCCACAGCGCCGGCUUUCCAGGUACGGGCUUCCCACCGCGGUGCAGCCUGCGGGAUGGAGAGCACGUUAACAGCUGCCAACGUGGUUACAACGUCCUCUGCUGCCUGCAGAAGCGAGCGUUCCCUCCUGCCGCGGCUUGUCCUGCUCCGUGCAAGAAGCAGCAAGAGCAGUAUUGGUGUCAAUUGCCUGGUUGCCAAGCUCGGUGCACCUUGUGCUCCACGGCAGACUGCGGCGAGAUGAGAUGUGCCAGACGAGCAAGCAAGAAAUGCUAUUUGAAUAAUUCUGAAAUGACUGUGAAAUACGCUUAGUAAACCUUUCCCACGUCCA